rnacentral:rRNA from 1 species
UACGUAGGGGGCAAGCGUUUGUCCGGAUUUAUUGGGCGUAAAGAGCGUGUAGGCGGCCUGAAAGGUCAGCUGUGAAAACUCGAGGCUCAACCUCGAGACGUCGGUUGAAACCGCUUGGCUAGAGUCCGGAAGAGGAGAGUGGAAUUCCCGGUGUAGCGGUGAAAUGCGCAGAUAUCGGGAAGAACACCCGUGGCGAAGGCGGCUCUCUGGGACGGUACUGACGCUGAGACGCGGAAAGCGUGGGGAGCGAACGAGG